UGUUUAAUCUUCAAAACAUUUAUAGGUGUCUCCUAAAUUAUUCAUCUGCAGCUCCCAUGUUUUAGGAAGUUAGCCAUCAACAUCAGCAACCAGUCAUGAAGCAAGUGACCCGAGAUCAUACUGGUCACUGAUAUGGGAUGUGAAAGAGGAAAUAUACAGAGGAUGGAAGUGCGGGCAGACAAAAAAAAAAAAAAAAAAAAAAAAAAAAAAAAGGAAGGAAGGAAGGACAUGCUGCAGAGAAAAAGGAUGCAGACACAUAUCCUGACUUGGCAGGUGGUGAAAGCAGUUGAAGAAGAGUUGUUGGACACAGGACCCACCCAUCAGAAAAUAAUGCAAGUGUAACAUAAAAUAACUAUAAUUAUGUGUAGUAAAAAAUAAACUUUGGAUUAUACUUUCA